GUGAGGAAUCUUGCGCAAUGGGGGCAACCCUGACGCAGCAACGCCGCGUGAGUGAGGAAGGUCUUCGGAUCGUAAAGCUCUGUCGGGUGGGAAGAAACGUAUGGAGGUUAAUAGCCUUUAUACUUGACGGUACCACCAAAGGAAGCACCGGCUAACUCCGUGCCAGCAGCCGCGGUAAUACGGGGGGUGCAAGCGUUGUUCGGAAUCAUUGGGCGUAAAGGGCGUGUAGGCGGCUUGGUAAGUCAGAUGUGAAAGCCCUGGGCUUAACCCAGGAAGUGCAUUUGAAACUGCCAGGCUUGAGUAGGGAAGAGGAAGGUGGAAUUCCUGGUGUAGAGGUGAAAUUCGUAGAUAUCAGGAGGAACACCGGUGGCGAAGGCGACCUUCUGGUCCUAUACUGACGCUGAGACGCGAAAGCGUGGGUAGCAAACAGGAUUAGAAACCCUUGUAGUCC
rnacentral:rRNA from 1 species